rnacentral:rRNA from 1 species
UACAGAGGUCUCAAGCGUUGUUCGGAUUCAUUGGGCGUAAAGGGUGCGUAGGCGGCGCGGUAAGUCGGGUGUGAAAUCUCGGGGCUUAACUCCGAAACUGCAUUCGAUACUGCCGUGAUUGAGGACUGGAGAGGAGACUGGAAUUUACGGUGUAGCGGUGAAAUGCGCAGAUAUCAGGAGGAACACCGAUGGCGAAGGCAGGUCUCUGGGCAUUAACUGACGCUGAGGAGCGAAAGCAUGGGGAGCGAACAGG